rnacentral:rRNA from 1 species
ACACGUGGGUAACCUGCCUUAUAGUGGGGGAUAGCCUUUCGAAAGGAAGAUUAAUACCGCAUAAGGUUGUAGUAUCGCAUGAUAUAGCAAUUAAAGGAGCAAUCCGCUAUAAGAUGGACCCGCGUCGCAUUAGCUAGUUGGUGAGGUAAUGGCUCACCAAGGCGACGAUGCGUAGCCGACCUGAGAGGGUGAUCGGCCACAUUGGGACUGAGACACGGCCCAGACUCCUACGGGAGGCAGCAUG